rnacentral:rRNA from 1 species
UACGUAGGCGGCAAGCGUUGUUCGGAAUUACUGGGCGUAAAGCGCGCGUAGGCGGCUCUUCAAGUCAGGCGUGAAAGCCCCGGGCUUAACUCGGGAACUGCGCUUGAUACUGUCGAGCUAGAGUGUGGAAGGGGCGAUUGGAAUUCCGUGUGUAGCGGUGAAAUGCGUAGAUAUACGGAGGAACACCAGAGGCGAAGGCGGAUCGCUGGGCCAACACUGACGCUGAUGUGCGAAAGCUAGGGGAGCAAACGGG